CCGCGACAGUGGACAUUGAAGGACAACCCAUGCCUUGCAAAUUAGACACGGGGGCGAAUUGUUGUGUCAUUUCAAGGAGGGACGUCGCAAAGUUACCGGAUCUACCAGAGCAGGCUUGCCGAGUCGCGCUAACAGCAUUUUUCGGCCACAAGGCAACCGCCCAAGCAAAAGUGCGCCUGCGGCUUUCAGCCGAUGAGAGGGUGGUCCUCGAAACAUUUUACAUCAUAGAGCAAAGUGUACCAGUGACUUUGAGCGGUUCAGCAGCCGAACGCCUUGAAUUUAUCCGCCGGGUACAGCACAUUGAUGUCGAUCAACUUUACCCGCCGGCACAACCCUUUGCAGAUGUCUUCGCAGGACUGGGGGAGCUCAAGGACUACGAGUGCGAGAUAAAACUCAAGCCCGGCGCCGUGGGUGUCGUCGUACCGGCUCGGAGAAUCCCCGUGGCCCUGGAGGACAAGACUAAGGCGGAACUUCAGCGUAUGGAGGAUCAAGGCGUCAUAAGAAAGAGACUGAUGGGAAGGCAGACGAGGACCCUGCUGCCCGUACCCGCAAGCCACCUGGUGCCGGAGACUGUGCCCAACCGAGCCGUCCAUAACCGUCUCCAGGAAAUUCGCCAACGCCAGAGAAUCUACUACAAUCGCCGCUCCAGGAACCUGCCACCCCUGUCACCUGGCCAGAGGGUGACUACAUACGAUACCCACGAAAGGACCUGGACACCUGCGGUCUUUCUCAGGCCAGCUGAGACGCCGCGCUCCGUGGUGGUGAAGACGGAGGAGGGCCAGGAAAUUAGACGUACUCGCGAGCAUCUGCGAGACGCACCUACACAUACCGAAGAGAGUCCUCGUGACGGGUCCGAACGACUAGACGACGCCCAGCCCGCUCAAGAGCUACGUAGAAGCACAAGGACACGCCGGGAGCCCUGCCGCUACCCACAACCAGAAAGAGCUGUGUAAUUAACUUCUUCCCCAAGAAAAGGGAGAUGUAGCAUGGCUGAGUAACUCUGACGUAACCAGCCAUUUCGUUAAAAUCACGUGACCUGCUACGUCACCAUUCUUUCCUAUAUCUACUUCGUUUCAACCGCAAUAAACGUUGUUCAUCACCCGACUGCCGGCCCGCUUACAUGGUGGCAGCGGUGCCGAGCGGAAAUGGCCACGCCGCCAGCCCUUUUGCCGUCAACGAUCUUGCCGCCGCCAAAGCCGUUGGAUACAUCGGGCAACACCUGGCUUGCAUGGAAAAUUUGGAAGAAGACUGAUGGGAAGGCAGACGAGGACCCUGCUGCCCGUACCCGCAAGCCACCUGGUGCCGGAGACUGUGCCCAACCGAGCCGUCCAUAACCGUCUCCAGGAAAUUCGCCAACGCCAGAGAAUCUACUACAAUCGCCGCUCCAGGAACCUGCCACCCCUGUCACCUGGCCAGAGGGUGACUACAUACGAUACCCACGAAAGGACCUGGACACCUGCGGUCUUUCUCAGGCCAGCUGAGACGCCGCGCUCCGUGGUGGUGAAGACGGAGGAGGGCCAGGAAAUUAGACGUACUCGCGAGCAUCUGCGAGACGCACCUACACAUACCGAAGAGAGUCCUCGUGACGGGUCCGAACGACUAGACGACGCCCAGCCCGCUCAAGAGCUACGUAGAAGCACAAGGACACGCCGGGAGCCCUGCCGCUACCCACAACCAGAAAGAGCUGUGUAAUUAACUUCUUCCCCAAGAAAAGGGAGAUGUAGCAUGGCUGAGUAACUCUGACGUAACCAGCCAUUUCGUUAAAAUCACGUGACCUGCUACGUCACCAUUCUUUCCUAUAUCUACUUCGUUUCAACCGCAAUAAACGUUGUUCAUCACCCGA